GAUGUUUUUAUCAUCUAGUAGCCAAGUGCUUUUCUCUGGGGUUCAUCUGAGGAGACAGAUCAGAGAAGGUGUUGAGGCUUGAGGAGACACGCCCGCUGAAUCACAGCAGCCCCCACUGCAGUAGGGCCGAUUGAGUGUCGGACUGGAAGGUGUUAAAGGGAUGCUUCACCCAUUCAGAACCGGUGUUCUAUCAUUAUAACUAACAUAAUAACGAACGGUUCUCGUCUUCAUUUCCGAUCGAGAACGGCCGGUCAAAGGGGUUGGUAUGACGGGGAUUCGAUCCGACGCUUUAUAAUAAGAGCUGUGAUAUGAAAUAAAACUUAAAAGAUAGAACGCUUCACGAAUUUGCGUGUCAUCCUUGCGCUAUCUGUCCAGCGAUGCUCUCUGUUUCUCAGCCAAUCAGCAACCCCGCAUCAACUCCAGAGACCUCAACUCCAGAGACGCCCCGAUCAAUCAGCAACCCCGCAUCAACUCCAGAGACCUCAACUCCAGAGACGCCCCGCCCAAUCAGCAACCCGCAUCAGCAUCAACUCCAGGAAAACUUUCCACGUGUGUCAGCCAUUAUCUCUGCAUUCGAGGAUAAGAUGUCUUUUGCAAAUUUAAAAAUGACGCCGUCGCAUCAGUUGGUCCUGCGGGCCUCUGAUUCGGCGGCAGCCUUCACCGCCGCCACGGGGCCACGCGGGACCCAGGCUCCCGCCAGGGCCAAGAAGCCGGGGGAGGUGGAGAAGGAGGCCCGAGCCCGCGUCGUCUCCGAGGGUGGUGACCCUGGGAACCCCAUGCUGGUGCUGGACUGCCACAGCAUCCAGCUGGGGAAGUACCGGGGUCAGACCUUCAGAUGGCUCCUGGAGAACGACGCGGGCUACGCCUGUCACCUGGUCGACAGUCACCAGCAGGAGCGGGAGACGAGUGCCUCGGACAGCCCGCUCAUGGCCAACAAGGACAGCCUCGCCCGCUACUCCUGCGCCCACCCCGCUUUUGCGGAGCACCUCCAGUUCCGCCGGGCGCAGGAGGAGGCCCGGGCUCGCGCCACUCUGCCCGGGCGGGGAGGCGAGGCGCUUGUUGGCAUCGGGCUGUUCAAGGAGGACACCCUGAAGGACCUGUACGACUCCAAGGACAAGGAGCGUCAGACCUACGUCAAGUGGCUACGGCGGAAGACCCCGCAGCCUGGGAGCGCCAUGGACGUCGCCAUAAAGUACAUUCUGGGCCGAGACAAGGAGCGGUCGGCGGAGGCGGCUGCUACACCCCCUCCGCCCGCCAGCAGCAGCACCAGCAGCGGCCUCAGCACCUCCACCAGCAAGGCCGCUGCUUCCACCGUGCUGCCGCCCCGCAAGCCGACCGCUCCCAAUUUCUCGGCCCUUGUGCGCGGGCGUCCGAUGGGCCCAGGGGAGCUGCAGGCCCGGAUCAGGAGACUGAUGACCCCACCAGCACGGCCUGCAGCUCCAGCGGUGUCUUCCGUCAGAGACCAGCGCCCCUCGGUUCCGCCGCCCCCCACCACAGAGGUGAUGGACGAGGAGCUGGUCCAGACGGUCACUGACGUGGAAAUGGGUAGCUGGCACCACAUGCAUACAUACACACCACAACUGAUAUCUAUUCUUGAGUCAGUGUGUUUGCAUUAACUGUAACUUUUUCAUUUGCCGGUCGCUAAAGCUGAUGCCUGAAGGACAAAGGUAGGUUUAUCAGGUGAUGUAGCCGUCUUUGUUGGUGGUAGACGCGCCGUCCUCACUCACGUAGUGGUAAUGUGGAUUUGAUUAAACUCCCAGUCUAGCAAACCUCGCCUUGUAACUAACAUUCGCCUUGUAGCACACCUCUUAACGGUCGCCUUGUAGCACACCUCUUAACAGUCGCCUUGUAGCACUAAACCAUUUUAUCUAAUCAACGGCAUGCUGCACGUCAUGAAUGCUCAGACUCACUUAGUCUCGCCUGCCUGUGUGUUGCCCCGUCACUCUCAUUGUGCUGAUGCCAUUUGGUUGUGCGUGACCGUGUCUGAAGCUGGCGUACAGGUCCUUCAGGCCCUCCCGCUCCCGCUGGAGACGCCUCCGUCUCCGCCUCCUCCGGCACCGUCCUCCACCCCUCCCCCACCACCACCACCUCCACCACCACCAUCCCCACCACCACCACCACCACCACCACCACCACAGGUUGCGGCCGCUCCGCCGACGGUCGGGCUUCCUGCUCGGGCUCCGGCGCAGACCAGGGUGGAGCCUCGUGGCGUCUCCGUGGAGGAGACGCCGUGCGGGGAGGCCACCCUGGCACCGGAGCCGAAGAAGAGGAGGAAGAUGACGACGGGCGACGCGGAGCAGUCGGCAACGCCCGCUCCUGCUCGGGCUGAGACCCGGUUGCCUGAGGGCUGGCGGACAGCCCUCACCGGGGGAAGAGCAGGAGUGGAUCGGCCGGGCGCUGUUUCAGCAGACCAGCGGGGGGUCCCUCAAGCUCACCACGGACCUCAAGCUGUGUUGGGACCCCCCCCAGCCCCGGCUGAACUAUUCUCAGCCACCCGCCUCGGCGGCUACCUUCUUCGCGUGUCGGUUGUUCCUCUGGGCGCCCCUGCACAUGUGGGGUCCCCGGCCGACAUGCUGCGAGAAGCAUCUCACCAAGUGUGGGAUGUACAAGACCAUCCGGAAGGUCUUGGACAUCGACGGCUGGUACUUGAUGGCCACCGAGUACCUGGAGUGCCGUCGGUGUCGGAGGAAGGUAGCUGCCUGGUCGCAGGAGGUCGUGAGGCAGCUGGGAGAGGGGCAUCGCGCCCUCUUCCCGGCGAUCCUCACCUACAAGCUUGCCUGCGACCGGCGGGUCAUCAUCCAGCUGCGUGAGCGUACUCGGGGGAACAGCGCCACGCAGCUGCAAAAGAAACUCUGUGAGGCACACACAGAGGCCUGGAUGCGGCGGUCCAUACACUACCUCAGCGUCAUGGAGCCCUUCACGUCGACGGGUGUCGUGCGCCAGUGCACCCCACCGCCGAAACCAUCGCCAGACGUGCCGCAGUACGGCUGGCUGUUGGUGGUGUACUGCCACGACAUCCUGUCUCGCCUGGAGGACGUGAAGGCCCGGGUCACCUCAGUCUUCGGAUCCAUCCUAAAGAUGGAUUCGACCAAGAAGGUGAAUGUGGUGUCGGAGCACGAGCGUUACACUCUUGCGACGUGCGUCCAGCCUUAUUGACUUGUGUGUUUGUGUGUGUCUGUG
ensembl:lncRNA